UAAGAACUUGCCUUUUAGUGAAGAAUACCUCCGAGAAAUUGGAGUUAAUGCUGCAUAAGUCCCUUCGGGGAGAAAGAUGGCUUUUAUGCUGUCGCUAGAAGAUAGGCUUGCGGACUAUCAGCUUGUUGGUGAGGUAAUGGCUCACCAAGGCUAUGACGGUUAGCCGACCUGAGAGGGUGAUCGGCCACAUUGGAACUGAGACACGGUCCAAACUCCUACGGGAGCAG
rnacentral:rRNA from 1 species